rnacentral:lncRNA from 1 species
AUUCUUUUCCUUGAGAACUGAGUAACGUACGAUCAUACAACUCCAGCAGGAAAGCUCAUCAGGCUGAGAGUACUAAUCCUGAACAUCCGUGUGAUCUGAAAGCCCUGCCCUAAUGCCUCAACUCGGAACUUCCCCAUUUCUCUCAUCUUACCAUAUCUUUUGCUUCAGAAGAAAAGCAGAGCUGCAAACAAAUAUACUGCUAUGAAGAUUGGAGUUAAGGAAGUGUGGCCACUUUUCAUUAAAUGGAUAGUGUACAAGAAAAUUAGAUGACCGGGAAUCACCAGAAGAAGCAGAACUUGAGCUGACUUGUUAUUUACUCCUACA